CCCAAAGUCCAUUAUCAUUCUUAUGCCUUUGCAUCCUCAUAGCUUAGCUCCCACUUAUAAGUGAGAACACAUGACAUUUGGUUUUCCUUUCCUGAGUUAUUUCACUUAGAAUAAUGGUCUCAAGCUCCAUCCAGGUUGCUGCAAAUGCCAUUAUUUCAUUCUUUUUUAUGGCAGAGUAAUAUUCCAUGGUGUGUGUGUGUUUAUAUAUAGGUAUCUCACAUUUUCUUUAUCCACUCAUUGGUUGAUGGAUAUCUACUAUCUUUAACAGAUGGUUCCAAGGUCAUUGCAAAAGAAGAUGCAAAGAGGAUGGAAAAUUGAAGGUUCCUAUGCCUCAGAAGGCCAUGAGGAAGGACUCUGGAAGAUGUCUGAAUACUAGAAACCCCGAGAGCCAGAAGAAUGCAUUCGUCUGUGGUUCAAGCUAAGUAUGGGUAGUGCCAAGAUGGUUUCUGAUUUGGUCUCCACCACAUACAGUGAUUCCAAAGGGGGGUAAGACAUCCUUCCUCCUGCCCCAGUGUCAGCCCUUUGCAGUCUAUCUCGGUCUGCUUUUCAAGUACCCCUAAUAUCUUGGCACUUCCUCAUGGUGAAAAGUCUCCUUCCUCCCCUUCCUGAACCCAUCCAUGUGCCCAAUGCCCAAAGGACAUUUGGAGGGAUGCACUUAAAAUCAAAUUCGUCCACUGUCUAUUUGUUGAGAUAAGGUGUGGUGACAACAGCAGUCCAAGGGGACUACUAGCAGCCUCAGAAUCCAGCCACCCAGCCCUAGCCUUGUCAGGGCCACUCCUGGGCUGGGCACACUUGUAGGUGGGGAGGGAAGGGCAGCAUUGUCAGAGAAGACAGACCAAGCUGCAGCUGCCCUACUGGGAGGCUGGGAGGCCUGAAUAGCUUCACAGCGCUGGGCCCUGCUUGCUGAAUGGGGGCUUGGCUCCUCCCUGGCGGUGGUCCGGAAUGGAUGACAUUUUCAUUGCAAGCUAACAAGGGGAGAAAUCCAAUUACUUCACAAAGAGGCUCCUGAAGGGGCCUCACAGCCUGGAGAAAGAAGGGGAGGAGAAGAGGGGGAGAGGGAAGGAAGAAGGGGAGUGUGUGUGUGUGUGUGUGUGUGUGUGUGUGUGUGUGUGUGUGUGUGUGUGUGUGUGUAGGGAGGCUCCCACCCAGACCAGGAAAGGAACAAAGCCCUCAGGCCUCCAGGACAUGGCCUCCUGCAUACAGGCAGGGAGAUUGGAACUGGGGGGCUUUUAAUUGAUUUCCAGUGGGUCAGAGGGUCUGCCUGGAAACUCCAGGUCCCUGAGAGCUCCAGGCAAUCAGGCUUCCUCCCUGUGGAACAACCUGAGUGGUGCAGAAGAGGCCCCAGCCCUAUUUCUCUGCCCCAUCAGACUACAGUUUCCCUGACCUGAGUCAUCAAAGGCCCAUUAUACACUUUUUUACCUUUGUUGCAUCCACCUAAACUAUUAAUCCCUUUUUGAAACAUUUAUUUAAAGUGUAUUAUUUAAGCUCAGUAUUUUGGAAGUUUAUAUCCUAACUGCAAAUAGAAAAAGUAGAAGCUAAUUCUAAAUAGAAAUACAAUUCAAAUAGCCCAAUGUUGUUGAACCUCAGGGAGCUGAAAGCCUUGGGCUCUCUGGGGUGGAGGGUGGGAGUGAUGGGAUGGUGGGGUUAGCAAAUGUUUGCAAUCCAGAUUUCUCCCAGGUCUAAUCCAGGAGGAAGAAGAGGAUUGAAAAGGGAACACCUCCCUCCCGCAGCGGUUCAAAAGCUGCUCCAGCACAAAGUCAGGAGUUCGAGACUAGCCUGGCCAACAUGGUGAAACCUCGUCUCUACUAAGAAUACAAAAAAUUAGCUGGGCGUAGUGGUGGGCACCUGUAAUCCCAGCUACUCGGGAGGCUGAGGCAGGAGAAUUUCUUGAACCCGGGAGGCCAAGGUUGCUGUGAGCUGAGAUCGUGCCACUGCACUCCAGCCCGGGUGACAGAGUGAGACUCUGUCUCAAAAAUAAAACAAAACAAAACAAAGCAAAAAACAAACAAACAAACAAAAAAACCAAACAAACAAAAAUCCCAGCUAGUGGGUGGCCGAGUUUACCUUGUAUUUCCUUGCUAUCUACCCAUUCCUAGUCCGUAUUCUUCACCUCCUUGUGGCAUUUGAUUUUGUUAAGACUCAAUCUUUUGGCUUCCAGAACUCCACUCUCUUCCUGGACUCUUCUAACCUCUCUGAUCAUUCCAUGUGCGUCUUCCUAGGGGCCCACCCAGGGCUUCUGCUGCCAGGGCAGUGUGUGUAUGCACAAACAGAGAGCCUGCGUAGUCUCUAGAUUCCAGAUACUCUCUGGAGUAGUGCAGUUUGGCAGUGUUGACCCUACCCCUUGAAUGUGCCUGGGGUUUAUUCCUUGGCCUUCUCAUCUGUAACCAGACUCAUUGUUUUAACAUUAUCUCUUCCCUGAUGACUCCCAAACUUUUGUCUCUAUCCUUGACAAAUCCCAUGGCCUAUGGGACACAUUCAUCUGGAUAACUCAACUCAAAAACACAAGAGGCCAUCAACUGAACUCAUGCUUCCUCCAAACCUUCUCACACUGGAAUUUCUGUCCUACGCAUCCAAGGUGGAAACUCUUGGGUUCUCAUUGAUUCAACUCUGCCCUGACACCCUCAUCUCCCUUUUCAACCAAACACCUCUCCUGCCCCAUUGUUUUUGCCAACCCAACAUCCAAUCACCAAGGUAAUUCUGCCUUUGAAAUCUCUCCUGCACCUCCCCUCUCCUCAUCUACUAAGUCUCCAUCAUCUCAUACUUUGACUAUUUGACAUAGAUCCCUAACAAAUGUCACUGCUCAGUCUUUCUGCUGCAGACAAAGAGCCCUUCAAACCCAGUCUCACAAAAAUCUCCCUGCUCAAAGAGUUCUGUGAGGCCGGGCACAGUGGCUCACAUCUGUAAUCCCAGCACUUUGGGAGGCUGAGGCAGGAGGAUCACAUGAGGUCAGGAGUUCAAAACCAGCCUGGCCAACAUGGUGAAACCUCAUUAAAAUACAAAAAUAAAAAAUUUAAAUACAUAAUUUAAAUUAAAAAUUAAUUAAAAUACAAAAUUAAAAAUAUAAAAAUUAACCGGGCGUGGAAUCACAUGCCUGUAAUCCCAGCUACUCAGGAGGCUGAGGCAGGAGAAUCUCUUGAACCUAGAAGAUGGAAGUUGCAGUAAGCUGAGAUGGCGCCACUGCACUCCAGCCUGGGCAACAGAGUGAGACUCCAUCUCAAAAAAAAAAAGGUCUGUGCCAUCCCUUAACAAAACUCCUAUCACUUGCUCUUCAUCUUCCAUGUGCUAUGCACCCUAUACCCCACUAUAGGCACUUAUCUAAACACUCCUUGUCUUUUCAUAUUUAUUUAUUCACAUGUCCCAUAAUUUUUUAUUUGAUAUCAUCUAUGAACCAGGCCCUGUGCUCACUGCUGGGAGAGAUAAACAUGAAUCAGACCCUGGCCCUGCACUCUGGAGGAUGAAGUCUGUUCUUCAUGUUGUUGCUAUUCUGCCAUUUUGAUAUACCCUUUUCCAUCAGAAAAUGUCUACUCUCAUAAAUAGAAAGUCUUAUAUUUUUCCCACAUAUCAGUGCAUCAUUUUAUGUAUGCACUCCUUGGAGUUCAUACAGUGCACUUUGAAGACAUCUGGACUAAGACCCAGAAACAGGAAGUAAAUAGAGUUUUUUGGUUGAAAGUGACAGAAAACCAAUUCAAACAAGUAGGAAAGGGAAUUUAUUGGUUCACAUAAGCAGGAAGUGCCGAGGUAGAUUAGAGCUGACCUUAGAGACUCCAAGAACACAUCACCUGUCACUCCCUCUGUCUGCCUCCUCAGGCCUUCUACCCUGAUGACUUCUAUUGCAGAGAUGGGUGAAGAGUAGAUGGUAGAUCUGGUGGCAGAAAGCUAUGAGCUUAUGUCAAUCCAGCCUAGUGAUGCCCCUGGAAAAAUAUGUUCUUUCCUAGCAUUCAUCUAAAAAUCUUAAGAAAUGGUUGUCAUUGACCCAAUUUGGAUAAUGUAUUCAUUCCUGAACCAGUAACUGAGGCAAGGGGAUGAAGAGCUCUGAAGGGAGAGGCUUGAAUCACAUACUCAUCCCUGUGGUCUGGAGGGCACUGUGACUGGUAACUGAAGAAGAACCACAUGGAAUUGGGGAGGAGCAGUUCUCCAAAGGAAGGUGAGUGCUGUAAUCAGAAAGGGGGGAAAGGAUCGGGGGCAGACAAACACAAAAAAUGCCACUACAGACAGUGUGGAGGCAAAACUAGACUACUGAUCCUUGAUUCUUUCCAUUGCAUUAUGGUGUUGUAGCUAGAUGAUCAAACCACAUAUCCCUCAGAAGACAGGUAUGAUCCUAAGAUAGUCCAGUCCUCAUUAUUGUACAGGAGCUGCAUAGGCAGAACAUUUCCUUACUCCUGAUGUUUCUUUCUAGACUUCUGCUUCCAGUUGUAAGGGAAGCCCUAUAAUUGAGACAGACUUACCAUUCUCCUGUAAACAGAAAACUUGACAAAACAUAUGAAAUAACAGUUUUCAGACAAUGGACUGUGAUCCUUGAGAGAAUGGAAACAAAUGAGGUGAGCCCUGUGAUCACCUGGCUUUCUGCUGGAGAUUUCUGGUCUGUGAUGCAGGGAUGGGGAACCCAAAGAGAGCCUGGUGGUCUUGCUGAGUUGAGGAUACAAAGAAGAGAAUUCAGGAGGUUGAGGCAGCUAGGGUUUGCACGUAGUGGAAAGAUUUUUACAGAGAAAGUUUCAGAAACAUGCAUAGAGCUCCCUUGAGUUCCCAUGAAGCUAACUAAAAAAAAAAUCCAGGGAAAGGACAAUUACUUGGGAGAAGUAAGAUAAAAAGAUUCUUAGAGUUCACACAGGUUGGGGAAUCAUUUGAGGUUCUACUAACCAGGAUGGAGACGCAUUGCUAUAAUAUGUGAGGCAUUUAUAUAUUUGAUGAAAGAUUCUAGAAGGGUCAUAUUUCAAUGGUGGGGCUAACCUAGCUCUAGAGUGAAGGUUACUGUAGUCCCAUUUUUUAAGAGCUUAAAAACAAGCUUUAAAAAGAUUAUAGUUGUCUUUUAAUGGCCUCCAGGACAAAAUGCAACCCCUCUUUAAUGGAAUACAAUAAAAUCAAGCACUCAAUGAUGUAAAUUUGCAUUACCCAGCAUCUAAUCAAGAAUGACUAGAAAUACACAGAAUUAGAAAUAUGUUACCCAUAAUUAGAUGUGGAUGCUAAAGCAACUCCAUCUUGGAUGCUAAUCUGCCAUGUUGACUUCUGAUUAACCCUGUUCUGGGAAGGCCUGUAAGAUUUCUACUUUAUCUACUGUUAUCAUACAUGUUGCCCAGAGGUCAAAACAACCUUGAUAAUAAAUUCUUCUCUCAGGCAGACUAACACAGCAUUCUUGCCUUUCCCUGAGGAGUUGAAUUCAACUGUCUUAUACACUCCUUCCCUAUGGUAUAUAAACCCUGGGUCUGGGGCAGGGAUAAUGGUGUGGGGAUCCACCAUCUUGUCUUACCACCAUCUGAGACAUGGCUUCUGUUAAUAAGUCCCUAUUAAAUUUUUCUUUCUGAUAAACUGGAUUUGUCAGCCUCUUUCUUUGGAUUCUCAGCUUCCUUGGCCUUUGGAGGUAGGUUUGCACAGACCUGCUCACUACAGAAUACUAGGAGAAAAAGCAAUCAAUGAAAAUAUAUCUGGAAAUGACAGAUAUUAAAAUGAUUCUUACAGAUAUGCUCAACAAUUUAGAGAAAAGCAUGAACAUAAUGAGGAAAUAAAUUGAAGAUAAGAAGACUCAAACAGAACUCCUAAGGGAGGAAAAAUACAGUGUUUAAAAUGAAAAUGUUACCAGAUAGGAUGAAAAGCUAAUUAGAUACUGCAAAAGAAAAGAUCAGUGAACUUGAAGACACACCUUAGAAACGAUCUCAAACGAAGCACAGAGAGGAAAAAAAGAGUGAGAUAAAAACCAAUAUCACUGAUCUAUGGGACAAUGUCAAGCAGUCCGACAGACAUAACACUGGAGUCGCAAAAGGGGAUGUGGGGGCAGAAAAAACAUUUUGAAAAAAUAAUGGGCAAACAUUUUCCAAAUUUGAUGACAGCUAUAAAUCCAGAUCAAAGAAGCUCAAGGAACCCCAAGCAUGAUAAAUAAAAAUAAAAUCACACCAGGGAGCAUUACAUUUAAAUUGCUGAAAGCCAGUGAUAAAGAUAAAAUCUUAAAAGCAGUCAGAGGAAAAUUAAGAAAAGACAUUAUGUACCUAGGAACAAAGAUAACAAUGACAGCAGACUACUCAUCAGAAACUAUGCAAGCUGGAAGACAAUGAAACAUCUUUAAAUGCUGAAAGAAGAAAACCCCAAAAACCUAUUAACCUAGAAUUAUGUUCACAGUGAAAGUACCUUUCAAAAAUUAAGAUGAAAUAAAAUUUUUUUAAAAAUGCAAGCUAAAGUAGUAGAAUUUGUUGCCAGCAGACUUGCUCUAUAAGAAACAUUAAAGGAAAUUCUUUAGGAGAAGGAAAAUGGUAUCAGGUAGAAACUUGGAUCUACAGAAAGGAGUGAAGAAAGCAGGAAAUGACAGAGAUGUGGGUAAAUAUAAAAUAUGUUGAUUGUGUAAAGCAAAAGUAAUAAUGAUAUAUUUGGCAGUUUAUAAUACAUGUAGAAAGUGUAUGAUGACAACAGCACAAAGGAUAAGAGGGAAAAAUGGAAGUAUGUUGUAAGGUUCUUAAGGUAUACAUGAAGUAUAUAAUAUAUUAUUAUAAUCUUAUUUGAUGAUAGACUGUGAUAAGUUAAGCAAGUAUAUUGUAAGCCCUAGAGCAACACUAAGAGAGUAAUGAAGAGGCAUAGCGACUAAGCCAAUAAUAGAGAUAAAAUGAAAUCUUGAUGUUUCCUUCUGUGUGUAGGGACCCCAUUGGUAUAACACACCUGGCUUCUCCCUGCUCUCUCUUUCAUUCUGCUCCAGCGAAUAUUGAGUGACUUAUCUGAUUGGUGAGUUUGGCAGUAGCAGUCCAGGCUACUGGGUAGCUCACCCCAUCCUUGGGUACAAGCUACCUGAAACGUAAACACAUUUCUGCUCUGCCCUUGUGAGCAGGAGAGGCUAGUGAUGGUCCAGUGUUGCUUAUGACCUAUGGGCAUGUCUGACUAAUUCUAGGUUUCCAUGUUUAACAGUCUGCUUGCCUGCAGCCAUGAGCCAUGUUCUUCAAAGUCAGCCUCAUUGGUAGCAAAUGUGAUACUUGGUCUCUAUCUGCCUUGCUUCUUUGUCUAAUUUCUUAAUUGGUUUAGAAAUCAGUAUUUAUGGAGAUACUUCCCCCACUACAAUGGCUGGCUUGACUGCCAGCUCCUGGAUAGGAAAAGGAUACUGGACUCCUCUCCUACCUGCCAUAUGUGAUUGACCAUGGGAGCUUGAGCAUGGGGUCCUGGAAGGGGAAGGGAUCGAUGGUAAGACAAGGUAAAGAGAAAUAUUAAUGCACAGGUGCCCUGUGAAGUGUGCUGGACCUCUGGGCUCAGAAAGGACCAAGGGAGCCUCAGGCGAGCCCAGUGGGGAGGGACAGCCUCAGCUUUCCUCCUCUUACUCCCCUGCUCAGAUUCUACAAUAUCUCUGCCCCACUCAGCCAGGCAAGUUAUGGCAAUGGCACAAGCUGGGGGAAGAAGAUCUGGAUUCCUUGCCUAGCUGGGCCACUAAUUUUCUAUGUAAGCCUAACUGAGUUAUGCUCCUCCCCACUCCCACCUCCGCAUUCUGGCCUCAGUUUCGCCAUCUAGAACAAAGAAAUUGUGCUAAAUAAUAUCUUGUAGUGGUUCCUUCUGGCCUUUACGGUUUCCUUAUCUAGAUCAGAGACUCCAGCCUAGGGCUACUUACAGACUUACUUUGUUUGGCCCACGCUGUGUUCUUUUUUU
rnacentral:lncRNA from 10 species